UACGUAGGGGGCGAGCGUUGUCCGGAGUUACUGGGCGUAAAGGGUCCGCAGGCGGUCUCUUAAGUUUGAAGUGACACUCCUGGGCUUAACCGAGGAAGGGCUUUGAAGACUGGGAGACUUGAGGGCUUGAGAGGGACACGGAAUUCCGGGUGUAGUGGUGAAAUGCGUAGAUAUCCGGAGGAACACCAAAGGCGUAGGCAGUGUCCUGGCAAGUUACUGACGCUCAUGGACGAAAGCCAGGGGAGCGAACGGG
rnacentral:rRNA from 1 species